CUUUCUAAGGAAGAUGU
rnacentral:rRNA from 1 species